ACCUCGGUGGCCUAAUGGAUAAGGCAACAGUUUCCGGAGCUGUUGAUGCGGGUUCAAUUCCUGUCCGAGGUACCA
rnacentral:tRNA from 1 species